rnacentral:rRNA from 1 species
UUUUGGACAAUGGGCGCAAGCCUGAUCCAGCAAUGCCGCGUGCAGGAAGAAGGCCUUCGGGUUGUAAACUGCUUUUGUCAGGGAAGAAAUCUUCUGGGUUAAUACCUCGGGAGGAUGACGGUACCUGAAGAAUAAGCACCGGCUAACUACGUGCCAGCAGCCGCGGUAAUACGUAGGGAGCGAGCGUUAAUCGGAAUUACUGGGCGUAAAGCGUGCGCAGGCGGUUAUAUAAGACAGAUGUGAAAUCCCCGGGCUCAACCUGGGACCUGCAUUUGUGACUGUAUAGCUAGAGUACGGUAGAGGGGGAUGGAAUUCCGCGUGUAGCAGUGAAAUGCGUAGAUAUGCGGAGGAACACCGAUGGCGAAGGCAAUCCCCUGGACCUGUACUGACGCUCAUGCACGAAA